rnacentral:lncRNA from 1 species
AAAUGAUGCUAACGUGGCCGGUGUGUCGAGCCUUUGGAAUAAUGGAACUGCUUGUGGAACUUGCUAUCAGGUACUGAUUAUUAACUUUCAACCCACUCAAUCAUUGUUGUUUAUUGUAAAGCUAUAUAAUAAAUGUGUAAAGUGAACGAAUUGCUAAGACGGCUAAGGCUGUGCAUGAAAGGAACUUGAAAACUUUAUUUAUUUAAAUUGUAUUGUUUAUAUAUAUAUAUAUAUAUAUAUAUAUAUAUAUAUAUAUAUAUAUAUAUAUAUAUAUAAGUAGUUUCAUGCAUAUUCUUCAUAAGACUGCUUAAAUCAUUUCACAACAUCGUCAACAAUUUUAUUACCACUAGUAAUUCUUUUGGUUUUGUAACAUCAAUUAAUAAUGGUUAGUUAAUUAAUUAACUACAGGUCAGAUGCAAUGUACCCGACGUUUGCACAGAUUAUGGGGUGUUCGUGGUGGUGACCGACUAUGGUGAAGGAGACGACACAGACUUCGUCCUCAGCCCACGCGCAUAUGGAAGAAUGGCACUUGCAGAUAAGUCAGAAGAGCUUUAUACUUUUGGUGUCGUCGACGUUGAAUUCCUGAGGGUCCCUUGCCGGUUCAGAGGCUACAACGUCAUGUUCAAGGUCCAUGAAAACAGCAAGUACCCACAGUACUUGGCCGUAGCCACGCUGUAUGUAGGUGGCCAAAAUGACGUCCUAGCAGUUGAAAUGUGGCAGGUAAUUACUUACAAAUUAACUUCUAAACAAUUGAUUUUUGGCCCGUCCAUCGCAUGUAAUGCUUUUGUUGGUGCAGGAGGAUUGUAAAGAAUGGAUGCCGAUGAAAAGGGCUUUCGGUGCAGUAUUUGACAUCUUUUAUCCACCACCAGGACCAAUGAAUUUGAGGUUUCAAGUGAGUGGCAGCGCGGGGCUCACAUGGGUUGUGGCAAACAAUGCUAUUCCAAAAAUAUGGAAGGCUGGAGUUGCUUAUGAGUCAGCAAUUCAGCUUGCAUAAAUUUGAGAUAUCCCAAGCUUUAUUAUUACCGGUUCCGGGUUAUCAGCUUCUUAAUGUCAUUUAGAUAUUCUAGUAGGUUGUUGCCCGGCACCAGUAAGUGCUGUUACUUUAUCUUUCUUUCUUUUUUUCAGUUUGUUGCUUAGGGUGUAUUGUGGACUCCUGUCACCUCAACACUUAACUAGUUGCUAAAUAAAUAGUGGGAUUGUGUACUUUAAGAUCUUUUGAUCUAAAGAGAAAAUUAAUAAAAUUCCGCUCUCGUUAAGAUAAAACCGGUCAUCCGCCUUGUUAGUGGUGUCCAUGUGUGUGUGUCUUGUUGAAUUUCUUGUGAUUGUUUAAAUAACUCCAUUAUAUUUCCUCUACUAAUAGUAAUCAGUAAAAUUGAUGUAUUAUCAAACAAUAUACAUCGUCGAUAAUGUUUCUUGGUGAUUGCAAUAUGUUAAAAAUAUAUUUCAAAUGUAAAAAUUGUAAAAUAAACUGUGGAGCCAUUCCAUUUCAGAAUUUGAGAUUACCCAAAUCUUUUGUCAAUUGUUUAUAAAAAUAUGAUAAAUAUCUACCAACCUACCAGCCACUCUUUGUUUUGCACUUUAUAAAAAAUAUACUAACAUAAAAUUUUUUUUUCUUUUGUGGCUAUCCACGUAAAGUUUACAAAAUGUAUCACUUUUUAAUUUUUCAUUAACAUAAUUAAAGAUUUAAUAGAAUAUUAAUUAAACGACCACUAAAUAGUUAAAAUAUUAUUUAAUCCUAACUAGUAGCUAAAUGAUGAAAAAAAAAAUCCAAUUUGUAGCUGUUGGAACCAAUAGCAGCUAUAAAUUUAGUUAGAUAAAUUCAUCAAACCUACUAAUUUAACAAUAUAAAAUCACCAAAAUAACCACCAUAACUAAUUUGUAAUUCAUUUACAACAUAAAUUCAGAACCUCUGCUCAUAUAAUCCAUCCUAAAUAAUCUUUGAAAACAAUAACAAGUCUUGAAAAGCAAUAAAUCACCAAUAAAAACAAUCAUAGUUAUCCAAAAUACAUUUAAAGGAAACAAAAAAAUAGUUAUAAAAAACUUUAAACAUUAUAUCUUGCUUCCAUCGAUCAAAAAAGAACAAUGUAAAACCAAUUAUGAUGAACAUAGAGUUUGGGGUUUGUUUCCAUCAAUUCAAAAUUAAACAUAUUCUAAAAUUAUGUAAAACAAUAACUAAUAAAUAAUCUAUUUACAUUUAGGAAUAAAAUAGUUUUUUUAUCAACAUCCUAUUAAAUCAUCUAAUGCUAUUAAUGGAAAAGUAGAAAAAUAUUAAAAAACUGCAAAAGAAAAGUUUUUGGCGUAUUUUUAAUAAAGCAUCGAAUGAAUAUUUUCCCAUAAAGCUACAUAUAAUAAAUUCUUCAACUAACGUACUACAUUAAUUUCAUCUUCAGCUCUUACGGUAAGCACUGGCUAACGAAUGAUUUUAGGUACACCAUAAAAGGAAAUUCAUUUGUCCUCUUUCGGAAGUGUUGUAAUCUUACAGGCAACGACCAGGACAGAACACCCCUUGGAAGCAUCAGAAUACUUGCACAUAUUAAAGCAGCGUUGACCAGCGUUGACCGUUGACCGUUGACCGAAAGUUGACUCAAGUCCUUCCCAAGGUUUUUCGACGUGCCGGAUCCAUCUGUGCAUUCAAAAUCCCCAAAUUCUCACUCAAUUUGUGAGUUAUGAUAAACGGUGGUAUGAUGUCAUUUCAAGUUCCACAAUUAAAGGGAAGUAAGUUUGACAAUUGGAGUAUUAAAAUGAAGGCUCUAUUGGGCGCACAUGACGUAUGGGAUGUCGUGGAGAAAGUCUUUAUUGUGCCAAAAAAUGAAGCCACUUUAACUGCAGCGCAGAAGGAGAAUUUAAAAGACUUGAAGAAGAAAGAGAAUAAAGCAAAGUAUCUCAUCUUUCAAUCAUUAGAUGAAGAUGCUUUUGAAAAGAUUGCUGGUACAACCUCCUCAAAAGAAGCAUGGGAGAAACUAGAGACCUCUUACAAAGGAGCGGAGCAAGUUAAGAAGGUUCGUCUCCAAACAUUACGAGGAGAAUUUGAGUCCUUACACAUGAAGGCGUCGGAGUCAAUUUCUGACUACUUUACUCGAGUUGUGACCGUUUCCAAUGAAUUAAAAAGAAAUGGCGAGGAGUUAAAAGAGGUAAGGAUCAUUGAAAAGAUACUUCGAUCAGUAGAUUCGAAGUUUGAUCAUAUUGUUGUGACAAUUGAAGAAACAAGAGAUCUGGAGGAUAUGACGAUCGAGCAACUUCAAGGAAGGUUGCAAGCCUAUGAAGAAAAACAAAAAAAGAAGCAAGGAAUUGAAGAACAACUUCUCAAGAUGGAAGUCAAUCCAAAGAAAAGAGAAGAAAGCUCCGACAACGAGAGAAGGCACUAUGUCCGAGGUAGAGGUCGAGGACGAGGUAGAGGUCGUGGUCAUGGACGAGGUUGGAAUUUCAACAACAACAACUCCAAUUAUGCCAAAGGAGAAAGCUCAACCAGAGGACGAGGCAGAGGCAAUUCAAGAUCGAGGUAUGACAAAUCCCAAGUACAGUGCUAUAAUUGUCAAAAGUUUGGGCAUUAUGCUUCAGAAUGCAGAGCUUCAAGCACCAGAAUUGAAGAGAGAGUAAACUAUGCUGAAGAGAAAAAUGGUGAAGAUGGCACACUUUUACUAGCACGCAAUGACACAAGUGGAGGUCAAGAAAAUACAUGGUAUCUUGACACAGGUGCUAGCAAUCAUAUGAGUGGAAACAGAAGCAUGUUCGUGCAACUAAGUGAAUUUGUGAAUGGUAGUGUUACUUUUGGAGAUGAUUCAAAAGUACCAGUGAAGGGUAGAGGUAACAUUCUUUUUCGUGCAAAAGAUGGUAGCCACCAAAUAAUUUCGAAUGUUUACUAUGUGCCCAAUAUGAAAAGCAACAUUUUUAGUUUAGGUCAACUUUUAGAAAAGGGAUAUGAUAUUCACUUAAAAGAUUAUAGUCUUUUUCUAAGAGAUGACAAAGGAAAUCUAAUUACAAAAGUGAGAAUGUCAAAGAAUAGAAUGUUUCCUUUAAAUAUUCAAAAUGAUGUUGCAAAAUGUCUCAAAGCCUGUCACAAAGAUCAAUCCUGGACUUGGCAUCUUCGAUAUGGGCAUCUCAACUUUGGAGGACUGGAGCUACUAUCUAAGAAGAACAUGGUGAAAGGCUUACCAUACAUCAAUCACCCUGAUCAACUUUGUGAAGGAUGUUUACUUGGCAAGCAGUUCAGAAAGAGCUUUCCAAAGGAGUCAAACUCAAGAGCUCAGAAGCCACUCGAGCUCAUUCAUACUGAUGUGUGCGGUCCAUUCAAGCCAAACUCCCUUGGUAAAAGUAACUACUUCCUUCUUUUUAUAGAUGAUUUUUCAAGAAAAACUUGGGUGUAUUUUUUGAAGCAAAAAUCAGAAGUCUUUGAAGCUUUCAAGAAGUUUAAAGCUGCAGUUGAAAAAGAAAGUGGAUACCAGAUUAAAGCCAUGAGAUCUGAUCGAGGUGGAGAGUUCACUUCCAAAGAAUUUUUAGAGUUUUGUGAAGCAAAUGGAAUUCGACGCCCUUUGACAGUUCCAAGAUCCCCCCAACAAAAUGUUGUUGCAGAAAGGAAGAACAGAACCAUCUUCGACAUGGCAAGAAGCAUGCUUAAGAGUAAGAGGCUACCUAAAGAAUUUUGGGCUGAAGUAGUUGCAUGUGCAAUCUACUUAUCCAAUCGAUCUCCAACAAAAAGCGUGUGGGGCAAGACGCCACAAGAAGCUUGGAGUGGAAGAAAACCUGGCAUCACCCAUCUAAGAGUUUUCGGAAGCAUUGCCCAUGUACAUGUACCAGACGAAAAUAGAGCCAAGCUGGAUGACAAAAGUGAGCAGUUCAUCUUCAUCGGCUACGACAACAACUCCAAAAGAUACAAGCUUUACAAUCCAAACAACGGAAAAAUCGUGAUCAGUCGAGAUGUAAUUUUUGAUGAAGAAUGAGAAUGGGAUUUUGGCUCUGGUGUGGAUGACUUCAACUUCUUUCCCAUUGAAGAAGAUGAUCAUACACAGAUAAAAUAAGUAGACGAACAACAAGAGCCUGCCACUCCACCUAUCUCACCAGCACCAACCACAUGCGGGAAUUCAUCGCCGUCUUUCUUAAAUGAAAGAACAGAAGAACGUACAAGGAGUCUUCAAGAUCUCUAUGAGGUAACUGAGAGACAUGAUAAUCUUACUCUCUUUUGCCUCUUUGCUGAUUGUGAGCCAGUCAACUUCCAAGAAGCUGCACUAGAUGAGAAGUGGAGAAUUGCAAUGGAUGAAGAAAUCAAAGCCAUUGUGAAGAAUGAUACUUGGGAGCUUACUACUCUUCCAAAAGGUCACAAGGCGAUUGGUGUCAAAUGGGUGUAUAAAACAAAAAGAAAUGCGAAGCGAGAAAUUGAAAGGCACAAGGCGAGGCUAGUUGCAAAAGGCUAUAGUCAAAAGGCUGGCAUAGACUAUGACGAGGUAUUUGCUCCUGUAGCUCGACUUGAAACUAUUAGACUUAUUAUUUCUUUGGCUGCUCAGAACAAGUGGAAGAUUUUUCAAAUGGAUGUGAAGUCUGCUUUCUUGAAUGGAUUCCUUGAAGAAGAAGUUUACAUCGAACAACCAUUAGGCUAUGUGGUGAAAGGACAUGAAGACAAAGUUUUGAGAUUGAAGAAAGCUCUUUACGGGUUAAAGCAAGCACCAAGGGCAUGGAAUAGUAGAAUUGACAAGUAUUUUCAAGAGAAAGGCUUCACCAAAUGCCCAUAUGAGCAUGCUCUCUACGUCAAAGAAAAUGAUGGAGAUAUUUUGAUUGUGUGCCUGUAUGUGGAUGAUCUCAUCUUCACUGGAAGUAAUCCAAGCUUGUUUGAAGAGUUCAAGAGAGUAAUGAUCAAAGAGUUCGAGAUGACUAACAUCGGACUGAUGGCAUAUUACCUCGGCAUUGAAGUUAAGCAAAAGGAAGAAGGCAUAUUUAUCUCCCAAGAAAGCUAUGCAAAUGAGAUUCUCAAGAAGUUCAAGAUGAAUGAUUGUAAGCCUAUAAGCACGCCAGUGGAAUGCGGAGUCAAGUUAUCCAAACAUGAUGAAGGCGAAGAUAUAGAUCCAACAUUCUUUAAAAGUUUGGUUGGAAGCCUACGUUAUUUGACAUGCACAAGACCAGAUAUCCUUUAUGCUGUUGGACUUGUGAGCCGAUACAUGGAGAAUCCAAAGACCACCCAUUUUAAAGCUGCAAAAAGAAUCCUUCGCUACAUCAAAGGUACAACUAAUUUCGGCUUGCUGUACUCAUUUUCUAAUGACUACAAGCUUGUUGGAUAUAGCGAUAGCGAUUGGGGUGGAGAUGUAGAUGAUCGAAAGAGCACCACGGGAUUUGUGUUCUUCAUGGGAGAUACUGCUUUCACAUGGAUGUCAAAGAAGCAACCAAUUGUCACGCUAUCCACCUGUGAAGCUGAAUAUGUAGCUGCCACAUCAAGUGUUUGUCAUGCAAUUUGGCUCAGAAAUUUGCUGAAGGAGUUGAGUUUGGUACAAGAAGAGCCAACCGAGAUUUGUGUUGAUAACAAAUCAGCAAUUGCCCUAUCCAAGAAUCCAGUCUUUCAUGAUCGAAGUAAACACAUAGACACUCGCUAUCAUUUCAUAAGAGAGUGUAUUGCAAGAAAAGAAGUGCAAAUCAAGUAUGUAAAAUCACAAGAUCAAGCAGCUGAUAUCUUCACUAAGCCACUCAAGCAAGAAGACUUUGUAAGAUUCAGAAGUUUGCUUGGUGUCACAGGAUCAAGUUUAAGGGGAGGUGUUGGAUCAUAAACUUGAUCCAAGAUGAAUAAAUCAAGCCCAACUCAUGGAAGGUUCCAUGAGUAGGUAUGGUUGGUGAGGUUUGAAUUAUUUGUGUUAGGUGUGUUAGGUGUGGUUGGUGAAGUUGGUGAGUGGUAGGUUUUAAUGGAUGGUGAGGAUUUGUUUAUUAGUUGAAUAAAUGAAUGGUUAUGAUUAGUUUGUUUCAUGUAUAAAUACCCCCUCUCCCCUUUGGUUUAAACAUCAAGUGAAGCAGCAUAAUCUCUAAGGUGUAGAGAGUGAAAAAUAAGAGUUGUAAUUGGUGAGGAGUGUUGUUGAAGAAAUAAAAUAGUGUGUUUUUUGUGUGUUUUAAUUGUUAAUCCUCCAACACAACUUGCACAAGUUAUCGGCUGUUUUGUACAUUUUGACGCAGUUACUGGUUCGAGUCGUACAUGGGAGUAACAGUUUAUAUGCAUCCAUUAAACAUCAGAUAAAUGGAACAAGUGAUAUGACUAACAGCAGGGCCCUUAAAUUUAAAUGUAUUGUCCAACAAACAAAAUACAGCAUAAUGGAAUUUCACGGACGUACAUACAGACAAACACAUACAUCCUCAUAUUUGUGAGCAUAGGUUAGCCAGAAAGAUGCUAGGACUUGGAACAAGUGAUAUAACUAACAGGGCACUUGAAUGUACCUUUCUGAUGAAAAUAAAAAAUACUACUGUUAACCUCCGUCAGUACAACCGACCAGUGCAUUCUGAAGAACCACAAAAGCAGCUCUUCUUCUUAAUGUUGCUAGAUGAAUCAUAAACUUGAUCUAUCACGUAAUUGUAAUGAUAAGUCAGCUCUUGCAGGGGAGGAAUGUUCUCAGCAGCAAAGAGCAUUAUGUGAGGCAUUCUCUUGUCCUCAUGAUCAUAAAGGACGUUUUGGGCAUAAAGAUUAGGCGAACAACUGUGGUUAACAAAUCUCCCCACAUUGCCAUACUCCACUGCAUCAAUGGUAAAUCCACCAUCCUCCACAACUCCACAGGAACUUGAUGGUGCAUCAGGCAUAACAUUCGAAAGUCCACCCCAAAGAGAACCAUCACUAUACUUAUUCCCAAUAUCAAAUAGAUACUCAUCAUUACUGGUUCUUCUUUCCGCUUCCUUCUCUUCAAGGAGCUCCCCCGCGUACGCACAGAUAAAACUUCCCGAAGGAAUGGAAUUUAGGGAUCUCACACCCCAUCCCCGUGCUUCAGUUUUGAUGAUCUCAAGCUGAACUUUGAUACCCUGCUGGCUGACUCUAUUAUGGCAAGAAGCUUCGUUACUCUUUUUCAUUGUUUCACUGGCUUGCAUACAAAUACAACAUUAUGCAGGCUAAUUACUUAAAAGGGAAUGGCUAGGGCCGACAGACGGAUGACGCGGAGCAUAGCUCACCUACCCCAUCUUCCAAUAAAUAGCAAUUUUCCAUUUAUUAAUUGUUCUACAAGCCUCCUCUCUCCUGCAAUAAGUACGCAUGGUUUUUUUUCUUUUUUUUGUCCUUACGUCGCACCAAACCUGUCAAAAACCACAAAGUUUAAAAUUGAUUUUGUGUUUUGCAGUGCAACAACUGCUAACUCAACUAUGAUUAAUGAGUGCUUCCGUCCCUAAUUUUCGAGCAUAGCUAAAUACGUUUGCCUGGCUUGACCCGUUUACUAGUGCGUUACAACCAAAAGACUGAUGGUGAUCGAGUGGGUUAAUCCAGUUGUUGUGAGCCUAUAGCAUUUGCUUUUGACUCGACAAAGCAAUUUAAAAAAAGGCCAUUUUGGAUACCGGUACGUCACGUACUAAAUCCAAUUGCUUGGUGUGGUCUCCCUAUUAGCCUUCGGUUCUUGACUCAAUAAGUAAUUUCCAGCUAGUUUCCAUAGGUUUCAAUUCCACCAUUUACUUAGCAUAAUGAUCGAGAAUAGGGAUGGCAAUGGGGUGAGGUGGACGUGGAGAGUCUUAUCCUAUAUCCCAUUUUAUUAAAAAUGUUGCCUCUAUUCUUCACCUCAUUCUCCAUUAAAUUUAGAGGGACGGGGAUAAAAAAUUCCUAUAUAAGGAAUAAUUUACUCAUUCCUAUCCCAUUCCCCAUUUAUUUAUAUCAUAGUAAGUAUGGAUAUGUGGUUUUAGUACAUUAAAAAUUAGAGACUUAAAUAAAGUCAUUAUCAUAUUAUAGAGUAUUUCAAUUAUUUUAAAAAAUCUUCAAAAUUUUGAAACAAUAUCUUCAACUGAUAUCAAAAUUGAAAAAUGUUUAGAAAGAGCACCACUUAAUAAAGAAAAGAAAAUGUAAUAAUAUUUUAGAGUUGAAUAAGAAUUAUAUUGUAAGGUUUUCUUUUAAUUAUAACUUGUUUAUAUUAUAUAAAAAUUAACAAGAAAAUUCGUUAAUCGACAUUGUAUUUGAUAAAACAAAAAAUAGUAAAUAAAAAUUAAAAAAUAUUUAUAUAUAAUGGAGAGUGAGGUGGUGGUGGGGUAGAGAAUGCAAAAUCAAAUCCCAUCCCAUUAAGAGUUUGAGGAUUAUUUUUCCCUCAUUCCCUACUCUAUUCCCUAAAAAUUAUUUAAACACCAUGAGAACCCAAACCCGUGUAAGAUUUUGUCAUCUCUAAUUGCGAAAUCUUGAGUUUUCUCUUGCACGCAAGUCACAAGGUGUGUGCUAUUAGAUCUUUUGGCAUAAUUCAGCUGGUUGUAGAUAUUUUCACCCAAAUUCAAAUAGCAAUAAAGAAUAACGAUUGGUGUUUAGUGGUUUAAGUUUUUAAUCUCCAUUCAAUUUUUAAAAUAAAAAAAAAAGAUAAAUAAGUUAUGCUAUUAGAACGUCUAAACGAAGCAAAACCAAACCAGUAAUUAACAAUUACAAAACAAUUACUUGGUUGAUAAUAAUGGCAUGGGAGGUGAUUUUAUGAUUUUAUUGGUUGCUUUACAACGGUUGACACUCACUCUCAGCUACCGUCACUGACUCGUGUAGCACUACUUCAAAAGUCUCUGGGUGGCAAAGGAAGUAUCCAAAAUAUGAAAGAGAGACAAGUGUUAGCCAUAAAGUGAAAAACCUUUAUAUGGAAUUUGUAACUUUCUGCUAAUAAUUAUGAUAAUGAGUCGAAUUCAUUUCAAUAAGGGUCUUGAGGGGUCAAUAAUGGGGUCUACAUUUACGCAUCAUCAAUCUAAUCUAACUCUCUAGUCCCAAGAGGAAGAAAAGAGGUGGCAAUUUCCCCUUAGCAGCAGCCCUCAAGGCCUCUACUAUAAAUAUGGCCAUUAACAUUUGUUAGCAACCCAUCUCAUAAGUAUCCUCCUUCGUACUGCUAGCAAAGAUUUUGAUAUUUUGCAAAUGGGGUUAUGUCAAUACUACCUUCUUUCCGCCGUGCUGCUUUUGCCUGCAUUGUGUUACUCUCAGUUCACAUUCACAAGUUCUAGAGCUACAUUCUAUGGUAGCGCCGAUGGCUUGGGGACACCAGGUAUGUAAAAGUCCCACCUUUAUAAAGCUAUGUACAUUAUGCUUUAGAGAAGUUUUCUUUUGGUAUUUGUUUAUCUUUUAGAUUAACUAAUGUUCAUGUUGAUGAUUCAUCAGCUGGUGCUUGCGGGUUUGGUGAAUAUGGAAAAACUGUAAAUGAUGCUAACGUGGCCGGUGUGUCGAGCCUUUGGACUAAUGGAACUGCUUGUGGAGCUUGCUAUCAGGUAAUGAUUAUUAACUUUCAACCCACUCAAUCAUUGCAGUUUAUUGUAAAGCUAUAUAAUAAAUGUGUAAAAUGAACGAAUUGCUAAGACGGCUAAUCCUUAUGCAUGCGUGAAAGGAACUUGAAAACUUUAUUUAUUUAAAUUGUAUUGUUUAUAUAUAUAUAAGUAGUUUCAUGCAUAUUCUUCAUAAGACUGCUUAAAUCAUUUCAAAUUCAACAUCGUCAACAAUUUUAUUACCACUAGUAAUUCUUUUGGUUUUGUACCAUCAAUUAAUAAUGGUUAGUUAAUUAAUUAACUACAGGUCAGAUGCAAUGUACCAGAAGUUUGCACAGAUUAUGGGGUGUACGUGGUGGUGACUGACUAUGGUGAAGAAUACGACACAGAAUUCAUCCUCAGCCCACGCGCAUAUGGAAGAAUGGCACUUACAGAUAAGUCAGAAGAGCUUUAUACUUUUGGUGUCAUCGAUGUUGAAUUCCUGAGAGUCCCUUGCCGGUUCAGAGGCUACAACGUCAUGUUCAAGGUCCAUGAAAACAGCAAGUACCCACAGUACUUGGCCGUAUCCAUGCUGUACGUAGGUGGCCAAAAUGACGUCCUAGCAGUUGAAAUAUGGCAGGUAAUUACUUACAAAUUAACUUCUAAACAAUUGAUUUUUGGCCCGUCCAUCGCAUGUAAUGCUUUUGUUGGUGCAGGAGGAUUGUAAAGAAUGGAUGGCGAUGAGAAGGGCUUUCGGUGCAGUAUUUGACAUCUUCAAUCCACCACCAGGAGCAAUUAAUUUGAGGAUGCAAGUGAGUGGCAGCGCAGGGCUCAGAUGGGUUGUGGCAAACAAUGCUAUUCCCAAAGUAUGGAAAGCUGGAGUUGCUUAUGGAUCAGCAAUUCAACUUGCAUAAAUUUGAGAUAUCCCAAGCUUUAUUAUUCCUGGUUCCGGGUUAUCAGCUUCUUAAUGUCAUUUAGAUAUUCUAGUAUGUUGUUGCCCAGCAUCAGUAAGUGCUGUUACUUUAUCUUCUUCUUUUUUUCAGUUUGUUGCUUAGUGUGUAUUGUGGACUCCUGCCUCCUCAACCCUUAACUAGUUGCUAAAUAAAUAGUGGGAUUGCGUAUUUUAAUUAGAUCUUUUGAUCUAAUCCAUGAAGGAGUAAAUUAAUAAAAUUAUGCUUUCUUUAAAAUAAAAUCGUACAUCCGUCUCAUUUGUGUUGUCUCUGUGUGUGUGGUUGUUUAAUUUCUUCUGAAUAUUUAAGUAACUCCUUCUGCAACGAAUAGUAAUAAGUAAAAUUGAUGUAUUAUCAAACAACAUACAUCGUCGAUAAUAUUCCUUGGUGAUUACAACAUGUGAAACAACAUAUUUCAAAUGUAAAAAUUGUAAAAUAAACAGACGGGCCAUUCUAUUUUAGAAUUGAAGAUUAGCCAAAUCUUUUGUUAAUUGUUUAUAAAAGUAAAAUAAAUAUCUACCAACCACUCUUUGUUUGGCACUUUAUAAAAAAUAUACUAAUUUUUUUUUCUUUUGUGGCUAUCCACGUAAAGUUUACAAAAUGUAUGAUUUUUUUACUUUUUCAUUAAUAGAAUAUUAAUUAAACAACCACUAUAUCGUUAAAAUAUUAUUUAAUCCUAGCUAGUAAGUAAAUGAUGAAAAAAAAUUCCAAUUUGUAGCUGUUGGAACCAAUAGCAGCGAUAAAUUUAGUUAGAUGGAUUCAUCAAACCUACUGAUUUAACAAUAUAAAAUCACCAAAAUAACCACCAUAACUAAUUUGUAAUUCAUUCACAACAUAAAUUCAGAACCUCUGCUCAUAUAAUCCAUCCUAAAUAAUCUUUGACAACAAUAACAAGUCUUUGAAAGCAAUAAAUCACCAAUAAAAACAAUCAUGGUUAUCCAAAUUUUAUGUAAAAGAAACAUAAAAGUAGUUAUAGAAAACCUUAAACAUUACCAAUUAUGAUGAGCAUAGAGUUUACAGUUUGUUUCCAUCAAUUCAAAAUAAAACAUAUUCUAAAAUUAUCUAAAACAACAACUAAUAAAUAAUCUAUUUACAUUUAGGGGAUAAAAUAGUCUUUUAACAACAUCCUAUUAAAUCAUCUAAUGCUAUUAAUGGAAAAGUAGAAAAAUAAUAAAAAAUUGCAAAAGAAAAGUUUUUGGCGUAUUUUUAAUAAAGCGUAGAAUAUAUUUACCCAUAAAACUACAUAUAAUAAAUUCUUCAACCAACGUACUACAUUAAUUUCAUCUUUAGCUCUUCCGGUAAGCACUGGUUAAUGAAUGAUUUUAGGUACACCAUAAAAGGAAAACAGUCGAUAUUGUGAAUUUUUUUUUUUUUUUGUAAUUUGUUACAUUUCUCAUACGCAAACAACAUAUAAAGCAUGUUCAAAAUGAUACUGCUACGUAUACUUGGAAAAAUAAAUUAACAAGAAGUGACGGCACAAUAUCUAUUUCUCCUCUUUCGGAAGUGUUGUAAUCUUACAGGAAAUGACCAGGACAUAACACCCCUUGGAAGCAUCAUAACACUUGCCUAUAUUAAAGCAAAGUCCUUAACAGAAUUUGACAUUUGGCAUUGGAAGGGAAGAAUGCAUCAAACGAGGGCUGCAUUGACUGUGUUAAGUUCUUCAGAAUUAGAGCAACUGUCGGUAAAGGACCGUCAACUUGCACAAGUUAUCGGCUGUUUUGUACAUUUUGACGCAGUUACUGGUUCGAGUCGUAGGAGUAACAGUUUAUACGCAUCCAUUAAACAUCAGAUAAAUGGAACAAGUGAUAUGACUAACAGAGCACUUAAAUUUAAGUGUACGUCCUAGAUUCAAAAGCCUUUGUAUCACCACGGAUCACUCUUACAGGAUUCUGUUCAUGUAUGCUGUUCGCUAGAGCUAGAUUCCCUCGUUCAAGCUUCUGAUCUUCAGGUUCCUUGCCUCCGUUCAUCACAUUCCCUCCCUGACCAGUGUAAAUCAAAACAUCUGAGUUGUCCAAAGUUAUCAUCGUAACCCCCAGAUGCUACAAUACUUGUAGCAAGAUUUUUUCCCUUGCGCUUGACAUAAUCUAUACCACCCUGAAUUUGGAGAUGAAGACCAAUCAUAUUCAGCUCCACCCUGUAUUGAAACUCGUCGCCCACUUCAACUCCUGGAACCGAUCCAAUGACUUUUUUUGUCGACAGGGAUGUAUUUCUUUUUGUCCUUGAGAAUCCUUGCUGCUAGGUAAUCAACCCUCUUAUGAGAAUUUUGUCUGCUGGGUUUUGCUUCUUCUUCGUGCAACAGCUUCCUACAAACAGCUUGAAACAGACACAAUGUCUCCCUCACCUUGUUUCGGGCACCAAUAGCAUUAUUUUCAGGACCUUUACCACUUGAACUCCUGGGAUGAGGAGGGAGGGUCACAUAACAAACGUGGGCAUGUGCGCCUUUGGUUGCAUUCCUCCUAUGAGUCAAUCAAUGAUCCUAUUAUCGACUUAAAUAAUGACUUAGACAUCAAAGGGUUCAAGCAUACCUUUUGCACACUGGAGCGGGGGUGCUACGGAUGUAAUAGUAAAAGUCUAUAAAUCUGCUAAUUUUGGUGAAAGUAUCCUUAUGGUAUAUUUUAUAGUACUACAGUAGGACCAAGUUGAGACAUAUGGUAAAUAAACAGAAUAAUUUAUUGUUCUACAAAUCAAUAGGGAUCCUUGUGAGAAUAACUCGCGUUCCCAUCAUUUUUAAUAAAACCCACAAACUCUUCCCCCUUUCACAUUACACUAAACUCAAACUCCCCUCUCUCUCUCUCAUACAACUCCAAAACUAAAAACACUCACUAGAUCAUCCAAAAUUUUCGCAAAGUGUAGGAAGGGGAUGCUGCGAGAAGAUAAGUAGUUUAGAGACAUCAACCAUACACAUACUUUGGGCCCAAGUCUCCACAGUAUUAUUCCAUUAUUUACACUAGUGGUGGAUGUCCCAUUAAGGAGGGUGAUGUCAUUAUUCGAGUCCAUUAUAAGGACAGUCACUAUCUCUAUUUGAUCUCCCUCCCUCCAUCCCUUCUCUUCCAAUUAGUUGAUGCAUAUUUAGGGACUUGAAAUUCUUUCAUUGUGAAACAGUUCAUUGAAAUUAUUUUUUCAUUGGCUUCAAUAUUUUGUUAUUCAGUGGAAGUAUAGGUAGAUUGAAUCGACAAUGUCCAAACAAAGCUGAAAAGUAGUGGUUUUGAAUGACGUAAUGGCGAUGCCAAUCUCAAUGCAUUCGGCAAGUGGAGGGGAAGCAAUGUGGGUCAGAAUGAAGGUAGGUUUUGGUAAGAUAAAAUGUUGCUACCGAAGUGUGUGGAUCUAUAGAAUAUACUUUUAUCGUGNNNNNNNNNNNNNNNNNNNNNNNNNNNNNNNNNNNNNNNNNNNNNNNNNNNNNNNNNNNNNNNNNNNNNNNNNNNNNNNNNNNNNNNNNNNNNNNNNNNNNNNNNNNNNNNNNNNNNNNNNNNNNNNNNNNNNNNNNNNNNNNNNNNNNNNNNNNNUGUUUCAAAAUUUGUCAUAUUCUAAGGAUCGACACAAAUAUUGAUGGAUUGUGACAAUAAUUAGCAUUGUCAAAUAAGUAGAAAUCGGCACUCUUCCUGCGCUUGAUGUUGUUCUGUUAACGAGUGGCCAUUUACGAGCGACCAUUUUCAGUCUAGGCGUCCUUUGGGGUUCUGCCGGUAUAAUUUUUGUUGUAGAGAUCGGAAUUCCUCAAAACUAAGGGGGGUCUUCUCCGCAUUUCGACUGAUACUUACAAUAAAAAGAACUCAUUUUUGCGAUGAUGCAGUUACGAAUAUUUAUUUGAACACAAAAAGUGUUUAAGAAAAGCUUCUCUAAUGAGUUAUUCCACCACAAAUGGUUAGUUUCGACUGCCUUGGGGAAGUGUCAAAUAGCCGUAUGUGCUGUCCCAUUCGUUACUCUUUUUCAUUGUUUCACUGGUUUGCAUACACGAAUACAACAUUAUGCAGGCUAAUUAGUUAAAAGGGAAUGGCUAGGGCCGACAGAUGGAUGACGAGGAGCAUAGCUCACUUACCCCAUCUUCCAAUAAAUAGUAAUUUCCCAUUUAUUAAUGGAAAACUCUCUAGUUCUUUAGCACUACUCUUUAUUACUUGUUCUACAAGCCUCCUCUCUCGUGCAAUAAGUACACUUGGUUUUUCUUUUUUCUUUUUUUUUUUAUCUUACAUCGCACCAAACGUGUCAAAAACGACAAAGUUUAAAAUUUAUUUUGUGUUUUGCAGUGCAACAACUGCUAACUCAACUAUGAUUAAUGAGUGCUUCCGUCCCUAAUUUUCGAGCAUAGCUAAAUACGUUUGCCUGGCUUGACCCGUUUACUAGUGCGUUACAACCAAAAGACUGAUGGUGAUCAAGUGGGUUAAUCCAGUUGUUAUGAGCCUAUAGCAUUUGCUUUUGACUCGACAAAGCAAUUUGAAAAAACGCCAUUUUGGAUACACGUACAUCACGUACUAAAUCCAAUUGCUUGGUGUGGUUUCCCUAUUAGCCUUCAGUUCUUGACUCAAUAAGUAAUUUCCAGCUAGUUUCCAUAGGUUUUAAUUCCACAAUUUACUUAGCAUGAUGAUCGAGAAUAGGGUUGGCAAUGGGGUGAGUUGGAUGUGGAGAGGACUACCAUAUUCUUGAUUUUACUAAAAAUCUCGCCUCUAUUCCUCACCUCAUUCUCCAAUAAAUUUAGAGAGAUGGGGAAGGAAAAUCCCUAUAUAGGAAAUAAUUUUCUCAUUCCCCAUUUAUUUAUUUCAUAAUAGGUAUGAAUACGUGACUUUAGUAAAUUAAAAAUUAGAGACUUAAAUAAAAUCAUUAUCAUAUUAUAAAGUAUUUAAAUUAUUUUUAAAAAUCUCCAAAAUUUUGAAACACCUUCAACUGAUAUCAAAACUGAAAAAUAUUUAAAGAGAGCACCACUUCAUAAAGAAAAGAAGACAUUAUAAUAUUUUAAAGUUGAAUAAGAAUUAUAUUAUAGGAUUUUCUUUUAAUUAUAACCUAUUUAUAUUAGGUAAAAAUAAAAAAGAAAAUUUGUUAACCAACUUUGUAUUUGAUAAAACAAAAAUUAGUAAAUAUAUAUUAAAAAAUAUUUAUAUAUAAUGGGGAGUGAGGUGGGGGUGGGGUGGAGAAUACAAAAUCAAAUCUCAUCCCAUUAAGAGUUUGAGGAUUAUUUUUCCCUCAUUCCCUACUCUAUUCCCUAAAAAUUAUUUAAACCCCAUGAGAACCCAAACCGGUGUAAGAUUUUGCCAAUCUCUAAUCGCGAAAUCUUAAGUUUUCCCUUGUACGCAAGUCACAAGGUGUGUGCUAUUAGAUCUUUUGGCAUAAUUCAGUUGGUUGUCGAUAUUUUCACCCAAAUUCGAAUAAUGAUAAAGAACAAUGAUUGGUGUUUAGUGCUUUAAGUUUUUUAUCUCCAAUCAAUUUUUAAAAUAAAUAAAUAAAUAAUUUAUGCUAUUAGAACGUCUAAACGAAGCAAAACCAAACCAGCAAUUAACAAUUACUCGGUUGAUAAUAACUCGGUUGAUAAUAAUGGCAUUGGAGGUGAUUUUAUGAUUUUAUUGGUUGUUUUUAUAAUAAGUUUUUCUCUCUCAGCGACCGAAGUCUGUGGGUGGCAAAGGAAGUAUCCAAAAUAUGACAGAGAGACAAGUGUUAGGCGUAAAGUGAAAAACCUUUAUAUGGAAACUGUAACUUUCUGCUAAUAAUUAUGAUAAUGAGUCCAAUUCAUUUCAAAUAAGGGUCUUGAGGGGUCAAUAAUGGGGUCUACAUUCACACAUCAUCAAUCUAAUCUAACUCUCUGGUCCCAAGAGGAAGAAAAGAGGUGGCAAUUUCCCCUUAGCAGCAGCCCUCAAGGCCUCUACUAUAAAUAUGGCCAUUAACAUUUGUUAGCAACCCAUCUCAUAAGCUUCCUCCUUCGUACUGCUAACAAAGAUUUUGAUAUUUUGCAAAUGGGGUUAUGUCAAUACUACCUUCUUUCCGUCGUGAUGCUUUUGCCUGCAUUGUGUUACUCUCAGUACACAUUCACAAGUUCUAGAGCUACAUACUAUGGUAGCCCUGACGGCUUGGGGACACCAAGUAUGUAAAAAUCUCACCUUUAUAAAGCUAUGUACAUUAAACCCGUGCACAAGUUUACGCGAACUAAUAGUUCAUUUCAUUAUGCUUUAGAGAAUUUUUGUUUUGGUAUUUGUUUAUCUUUUAGAUUAACUAAUGUUCAUGUUGAUGAUUCAUCAGCUGGUGCUUGCGGGUUUGGUGGAUAUGGAAGAACUGUAAAUGAUGCUAACGUGGCCGGUGUGUCGAGGCUUUGGAAUAAUGGAACUGGUUGUGGAACUUGCUAUCAGGUAAUGGUUAUUAACUUUCAACCCACUCAAUCAUUGCAGUUUAUUGUAAAGCUAUAUAAUAAAUGUGUAAAGUGAACGAAUUGCUAAGACGGCUAAGCCUCUGCAUGAAAAGAAUUUGAAAACUUUAUUUAUUCAAAUUAUAUUGU